UGGCGGACGGGUGCGUAAUGCGUAGGAAUCUACCCUGAAAUGGGGGAUAACCUGAGGAAACUCGGGCUAAUACCGCAUGAUUUUGGUCACUUCGGUGAUUAAACAAAGCAGAGGAUUAACCGGGCAACUGGUUGACUUUGCGUUUUUGGAUGAGCCUACGUCGGAUUAGCUAGUUGGUGGGGUAAAAGCCUACCAAGGCAACGAUCCGUAGCUGGUCUGAGAGGACGAUCAGCCACACUGGGACUGAGAUACGGCCCAGACUCCUACGGGAGGCAGCAGUGGGGAAUUUUGGACAAUGGGCGAAAGCCUGAUCCAGCAAUGUCGCGUGUGUGAUGAAGGCCUGCGGGUUGUAAAGCACUUUCAGUGGGGAAGAAAUACUCAAAGCUAAUACCUUUGAGGGUUGACGUUACCCAAAGAAGAAGCACCGGCUAACUCUGUGCCAGCAGCCGCGGUAAUACAGAGGGUGCAAGCGUUAAUCGGAGUUACUGGGCAUAAAGGGUGCGUAGGCGGAUAUUUAAGUUGGAUGUGAAAUCCCUGGGCUUAACCUGGGAAUUGCAUUCGAUACUGAUUGUCUAGAGUAUGGAAGAGGAAAGUGGAAUUCCCGGUGUAGUGGUAAAAUACGUAGAUAUCGGGAGGAACACCAGUGGCGAAGGCGGCUUUCUGGUCCAAUACUGACGCUGAGGCACGAAAGCGUGGGGAGCAAACAGGAUUAGAUACCCUGGUAGUCCACGCCGUAAACGAUGAGAACUAGGUGUUCGUCUUACUUUUGUAAGAUGAGUACCGAAGCUAAUGCGUUAAGUUCUCCGCCUGGGGAGUACGACCGCAAGGUUGAAGCUUAAAAGAAUUGACGGGGCUCGCACAAGCGGUGGAGCAUGUGGUUUAAUUCG
rnacentral:rRNA from 1 species